rnacentral:rRNA from 1 species
UACGUAGGGUGCAAGCGUUGUCCGGAAUUAUUGGGCGUAAAGAGCUCGUAGGCGGUUUGUCGCGUCUGCUGUGAAAACUCGGGGCUUAACUCCGGGCCUGCAGUGGGUACGGGCAGACUAGAGUGCGGUAGGGGAGACUGGAAUUCCUGGUGUAGCGGUGAAAUGCGCAGAUAUCAGGAGGAACACCGGUGGCGAAGGCAGCUCACUGGGACGGUACUGACGCUGAGGCGCGAAAGCGUGGGGAGCAAACAGG